rnacentral:lncRNA from 1 species
CUGGAUAUGACUAAAAGGAUUAAACAAUUGUCGAGAACAAUCUAAGGUUUACCAAAGAUUGGUUGCUCAAGGACAGUUGGAAGUAUAGUGAUAAUUCUGGAAGGACCAUAUUGACAUAAUCUGUAAGGAGGCAACUCUUGUUCAGAAGUGAUAGUCAAAAUGGAAUCUGGAAAUGUUUCAAAGUUAGAAUUUUCAAUCUGUGUAAGAUUAAGGAAACUUAAUGCAAGAAGGAUAUUUCCAAGGAGUUGAUCUCCUUUGGAAUACUCUGUAAUGAUUGUUGCCAAGUCUUUAUGACUUUGUGCAUAAUCAUUACGAGAGGAUCAAUGCAUAUAAGUUUAGAAUCUAACAGAUUUCAGUAAAUGGCAUGAAUUUGGAAUUCUUGCAUUUGCAGUAAGGAUUUGGGAGUGUGAAAAGAGAAUCAUUGAAGUUAUGUUCAAUUGAUCUAGUUCACAAAGUAAAGAUCAUAGACAAACAUAGUAUGCAUACUUGGUGUGUGGCAUGACUAGUGUUUAAGAAAACAUAGUGUACAUGCUUGGAGCAUGGGACAACUAUUGUUUUAAAUUCAAGAAUAAAGUUGAUAGCUGAAACAGUGUACAAUGAAUAAUGUGUAAUCAUAUGGUGAUAAAUAAAAGGUGUUUUAUUUAUGUUCAAAGGGUUGAUACCAUAUUGGAUUCAAUUAUUAUUGUGUUUCACUUUGCAUGUUUUGACUUCCCGAAUAAACUAGGUUAUUCUUCCGGAAUGACUAAGUUAUUCAAACCAUCCACAGUCGGUCAUAUGUUGGAAGUAGAUAUGAAUUAAGACUGUCAUGGGUUGGCUUGUAGAGGUCUAAGGUGUUGGACAAAGGGCUACAACACUCAUGAGUGCUCAUAAGUUCUGAGUAUUGGAUUCAACCCGCGCUCAUUGGAAUCACUUCAUGGAUUUUAUCACGAGUGAUCAUGAGACGAUAAUAUCUUAUAUUCUUCAAACCUAGAGAUAUGAGUUGUUACUAUGAGUUGAUAGUACAUUGAUUGCACGAAAACGCAUUUGGUAACUCGGUGCUAUAAAACGUGCCUUUGUGUAUGAUUCAACAAGUAGUAGAACAAGCCAUAUGAGUCGAAGUUUAUCCGUUCCUUUUACCUUCGGGAUAAAAGCGAUAUCUGUGGGCCCCUCGAUGAUUUGAUGAUGACAAAUGGAAGUGCUCGGCCGGGCCAGGACUGAUUUGAUUUGUUCAAUUAGUCAGUCGUCAUAAAUCGGAAAUCGGGAAACAACAAAUGGACAGAGAGAAUGAUUAUAAUCCAUGUCUCAGUCCAUAUGAUAUCUAGAAUGGAGGAAUAUAUGAUCCCUUAUCUAAUGGACAAGUCAUUGACAAAGGUCAGAGUUCAUCUACAAGGUCAGAGUUCGACAGAAGCUUUUGAGAGCUACGAUUGCCAGUUGGUUCCUGAAGUCAUACGCAAUAAUAGUUUUAGACUUAUCCAAGUGGGAGACUGUUGGAUUAAUGUCUAAGUCCAUAACUAUAAUUGGUAAGACUUGACCCGACCCGGCAUGGUCCAUUUGGGUUGCAUACCAUCAUGCACUUGGAUAGACUAUAAUGAGAGAAAUAAGACACUUAUGGUUAUUAAUAUAUUAUAAGUUCUAGUAUAUUAAUAAUAAGAAUAAUAAGAUUAUUUAAUUAGUAUUGAUCAAGAAUUAAUCUAGGAUUAAUUAAGUGAUCAAAAGAAGACUAAUUAAAUAUAUGGGUUGAUUGUGUAAAUCAUCCAUACUUGUAUAGUGGGCUAAUGCUCCAUGGAUAAUCAAGUUGGGCUAAAACCCAUAGGAUGGUCCAUGGAUGCUCCAUGGUGUAUUUGUACCCAUGGAUCCAAGGAAAUGGAAAGCCAUGACAAUUAAGAGUUUACCCUAAUUGUGUAACUAUAUAAGCAUCUUAUUAUUGAGGAAAAAUCGGCCACUAGAGAUAGUGAAGAAAGGGCUAGCCGAUUUUGAUGAGUGUAGAAUUCUCUCAAGUCAUUCUAAGUGUUUUGAUGAUUGUGAUUCCAUUUGAGGUGUCACACUUGGGGCACUAGGCACUCAAGCUUCAUGAAGACUUUCUACACCAAAGAGGUAUGUAUUCUAUCUUGCUAUAGUUAUUGUUUUGUAUGCUAGAUUAGGAUAAUACCUUGGAAGUUCUUAUUUGCAUGUAUAAUAGAGAAAACAUAGAUCCAAGGUAUUUAGGGUUGCAUGUACACUUAGGAAGUGUUAGAAUGCUCAAAACCCAACAGUGGUAUCAGAGCCACGGGUUGUUUUCUGUUAUAUUGAUGCAAAUAUUUUAUUUUCAAAGUUGAAAAAAAAAAAAAAAAAAAACAUGAAGUUUGUCAAAUUUUAAGAUAAUUACUUGUUCUUGUGAAAAACUAAUUAUUUGUAAAAUUUGAAUAAUUUGCUUUAUGAGUUGAAUUAGGUCAAAUUUAAUAAAAGAUAAAAUAAUAUGAUUAUUUUAUUAGUUUUAAAAGUUUGAUCUAAAGAGUUUUAUUUUUUGAAACCUCCAUAAGUUAUGGAUAUGAAAAGGUUUUAAAAAAAAAAUUGAUUCAAAGUUUUUUUGGAGUUACAAAAUUUGGUGUUAAUGUUUUAAAGGAUUCCAUAACUUAAGAAUAAGUUAUGGAUCACCAAAAGUUUUUUGUGUUACCUUGUUUUAUGAGUGAAUUUAGAUUAAUGAAUAAAAUUAUGUGAUAGUUGGUUUUAAUCCAAAUUAAUCUAAGAAUUGAUUCUAAAAUGUGUUUUUGUAACUUGUCCUCAAGUUAUAUGAAAAGUCACAUUUAAGAAUCAUAAAACUCAUAAAAAUUGGCAAAGGUUACAAAAAUGAAGAGUCUAGUUCUAAUUAAAUGGUUUUAUGACUCCAUAACUUGUCCUCAAGUUAUGGAGGACCAAGAGUCUCUUCAUUUAAUAAAAUAAAAUAAAAAAAAAAAAAGUGUAACCUUAAUUAAUUCCAUAAGUUAUAAAAUAAAGAAAAGUUAAUUCUUUUAUUAGUUUAAAGUCUUCCAUAACUUGUCCUCAAGUUAUGGAACUUGAAGAGUUUUUGGAUUAAAACUACUUUAAACACAUAAGUUAUGGAAUUAAUUAGUUUUGAAUAGUUUCAAAACUUGCCCUCAAGUUUUGGAAUUUGUAAAGUUUUCACUUAUGAAUACUUUAAUUCCAAGUUAGCCCUUAGAAUUUUAAAAGUUAAAAUUCAACCCUUAUACUUUAUAAUAUUAUAAGUUAAUAAUAUAUAUAUGUAUAAGAGUAAAGUCAGUCUUACCGCUAGUACGCCUCAUUCACGAAGCCGGUCUAUAAGGUGGGUAUAAGGUUGUUGCCUAUAAAAUGGCAACUUAAUGGGUGUCCACUCUCACCCACCGCUUGCUUGACUGGUGGAGGGUCGUUAGCCGAACGGGUUUGACAGGACUAGAAUUCUCCCUUCAUUAAAAGUAUUAAUGAUAAUACUAAGUAACUAAACUCUUAAUAAUACCCAAUCUUAGUUACUUAGGAAAAAUGUGAAUAAGGUGCUAAUCCAUGAAAUUACACUUUACACUUUGUCUAAGUCGUUAGUGGAGCGUGUGUGGUUAACCGGCACACUAACUUGGACUUAACAAGGUAGGUAAAGGGUGACUUAAUAUUUAUCAUAGUAUCGAUGGAGCGUGUGUGGUUAACCGGCACAUCGAUUGAGGGGUAAUUUAUUAAGGGUACCAAGUGAUUUGCAUGGUUACUUCACACCUUGUUUUGUGAUCCUCGGCAUCCCAGUCACAAAACCUGAAGGGCACACUCGAGAUUGAAACAUGCCUUUGAACAGUUCAAUGAAUCUCAAAGAUCUAGGAGUUUCAAAACCAAUUAAAACCUAAUAAUACAUUUCGUUUAUCUUGGUGGAAAUUGGUGAAUCGUCAUUCACCUACCUUCAAAUAUUUUAUAGCUUGGAUUACGGCAUACCUCUUCUAAGUUAUAAAAUAGUUUGUUGGGUCCUAGCCUUAAUAUUUCAUAUUGGGUGUCAUAUUAAGGACUUUAAAUCAACUAUCUUGAAUAUCUCCCAAAAGAUGUCUGGUUUAGACACCUAUGAUCUUCCCAAAUCUCUUGAAACAAGGUUUCCUAAUGAAGAUGAUGUCCCAUGGAUAUCAUACUUCUUUCUCCUCCUCCAAUUAUUCUCCCUAACCCACAAGUUCUUGAAAAGUUUAAGGUCACUCAAGCCCUAUUGGCAAGGCAAGGUCUAGGUGUGAUCACAUCUUGGAGAUGUAGUCACAUAUUGACAAGCCGGGAGAGUUGGGUGUCAAAGUCUUGAGAAAGUUGGUGGUUCAAUCACUUUCUAAGUCACAUAGUGAGUUCCUUUGGGACACCUAUGAAACAGACUAUGACAAGACCCUUAAUGAUCUUAUCUAUUUGCUAAGAUCAACUUCCUAAAACUUUAUGGACAUUGACAAUGAUGACAUUGGAUAUCCAGUAAAGCAUUCUCUUCCCAAUGGAAAGGGAUCGGCCAUAGUCAACUCGGUUGACCAAAUGGUAAAGAGAAAAGCUAAGUCUGUGAUAGUCUCGUGUACCAUUAUCAAAGGGUCCAUAUGUUUAUAUUGCCAAAGGAAGGGGCAUUGGUUGCGAAGCUGCCAAAUUUACCUAAGGAUGUUAAAGUCAAUAAGUUUGACUCUACUUCAGGUAAAGUCCACUAUCUAACUCUGUUAAGUUUCUAUUCUGAGAUUCCUGAUACAUGAUGUGACUGGGUCACAUGGUGAUGUUUUAAGAAUCAAAGAAAAGUGAAGAAACUUAAAGAAAGAAUAUGCUGAAUCUGAUGGCGUAGAUGGAUUUCUAUCGCAUAGUUUGAAGAUCGGAUUCUUGAGCAACUUCUUAGGAGUUAUGAGAUAUUGCUUAGGAAUAGAUAACAACAAGUUUUCAUAUGGAUUGUAAGGAUAAGUUUUUCCGCAAAGUUUUAAAAUAAAAGAAAAUUUUUGAUUUUAUUUAUUUUAAAAUAUCCUUACAAUGGCAUUUGAGGAAAAAUUGUUGCUUAUAUGAUUCCAUUAAUAGCAAGAGUGGAAAUAUGAAAUUGAUUCUUUCAUUUGUGGUAAUGUCUAGAUUUACCAAAUAAGGAAAGAUUCUCAUCACCCAAGUUUCAAUUGGACCGGAACUUGGAAUCAUGCAAGUUGUAUAGCAUGAUGAAUGAGAACUUUCAAGUUUUGGAAAAUUAAGACUAAUUACUCGGCCACAUGGAUGUGUGAGUCAAGUAAAGGACUAAGGGAUCGAGUACACAUUCUUGUGCACUGAUUAAGUCCACCACAAAAGAUUGAUAAGACUAUUCGUCAUAGUUUACUAAAGCUCAGUAAAUAUGAUUAUACUUACAAGCUUAAGUGUAACUCUGAGACAUUGGAAAAGGUUCCAAUGUAUGGCAGAGCGAAUAAGAAGAAUCAAAUUAGGCAGAAGGAUAAAAGUUUCUCAAAUCUGAAAAGAUGGGAGAGUACUUUAGUAUCAGUUUUGUGAUCAUCUUAAUGAUUAAGAAACCAUAUCAAAAUUAGUUCUCUAAGGAAAUCUUAGUGCAUUCUUAUGACUAAGAAGAGGAACUUGAAUUGUUGAAAUGGUUAAAUCAAGAAGAUGAGUCAUACUUCGUUCCAAUACAAGUCUUAGAGUCAUACUCCAAGAUUGUCAUUUGAGUGACAUGUCUUAAAGAAGGUUUAAAACACUUGUCAAAUGUAAGAGUAAAAGUUUUCUACUCUUGUACAUUUGAAAUUGGUAAGUUGUGAUGUUUUGGAUAAAACAAAGACCAACUUAGGCCAAUUGUGUGAAGUGUUUGUCUUGAUUAGAAUCCACACUAUCUCUUGGAUAUUUGACAAGGGAGUCUUAUAGGUCAAGAGGUCAGUGGGAGUCUUAAAAGUCUUGAAAGUCUCAAGAACUAAUCAAGAAUAAAACCUAAAGUUCUUCACUAGCACACAACUUGAGGUUCAUAACCUAUCGUGUUGACAUAUUCUGUGCCCAUUCCAGUUAAAGUUGGUUUUGCAUAUGAGUUCUUAGAGUUCUCAAUUUGUUGCACAACAACUUGGAAGCAAUGGUAGGCCCUUGAGCUGCCAGGUGGCAAGAAAUUAAGAUUGAGUUCAGUCCAUAUGAGUUUGGAUUUGUCAUUAUCCUUGUCUUGUGACUAUGGUUUUGACAAUUCACAUGGAUAAGAACACAUACACCAUUAAAUCUAAGUGUCAUAAGGUUUCUCUCCGAUUCAUGAAAAUGAUGGUGAGGAAACACUUUCACUAAGUAGAUUUUAGCUAGAUAGCAAUUGUGAUAUUUGCAUUCUCAAAGUCGUUAGUGGAGCGCGUGUGGUUAACCGGCACACUAAUUUGGACUUGUGAGAAGUGGCAAAAAGGUCUAAACAUUAUGAUUACGGCAUCCCUCUUCAUAAUUGUUUAGAUACACAAGUGUGCUAUCUAAGGGAAGGUGUAUGAUUUUGAUAAAGCUUUAUCAAAACAAUCUAGCAUCAGAAAUCUGAACUUUGGUAAGAAAGUCAAUGAAGUAUUGAUUUCUAGAAGUCCAGCUGAUUUCUGAGUACAUGUCAAAGCUAGUGGGAGCAUAAGUGUUAUGCUAAUAAUCAUCAUGUUAGUGGGAGCAUGAUAAUUAUGAUAAGUAUUGCAAGUUAGCAAUGUUAAUUAUAGAAAACAAAAGUUUCAAUUGGGAAAAAGUUGUUUUGCUAUAAUUAAGGGAGAGGAAAUUAUACUUCAUCUCAAAUCUAUAAGCUUAGAUCGUGAGGUUUUAAUCAUUUAGUCAAGGAUAUAUAUGAAUUUCAUGUUGGAAUGGCUCAACAUAAGGAAAUUCUGUAUAUGGGUCCAUUAUUUGCGUUCUAAAAUUCGAUUAUGAUUACGGCAUCCCUUUUCAUAAUCUGAAUUAUGAGAACUUGGCAAAUUGAAAUGGAAAUAUUAUAGCAAAAGACUGGUUUAGUCUUUAUGUAAGACAUCAUGAAUCGUGUCCCAUAUGCUUCGGAUAUAGGAUCGAUUACAUGUGCUAUAUUCAUCCGUUCUAAAAUUUUCCAAAUGCCUGGGGCAUUAAGAAGGGAAAAGGUUUAGAACUGGAUAUGACUAAAAGGAUUAAACAAUUGUCGAGGACAAUCUAAGGUUUACCAAAGAUUGGUUGCUCAAGGACAGUUGGAAGUAUAGUGAUAAUUCUGGAAGGACCAUAUUGACAUAAUCUGUAAGGAGGCAACUCUUGUUCAGAAGUGAUAGUCAAAAUGGAAUCUGGAAAUGUUUCAAAGUUAGAAUUUUCAAUCUGUUUAAGAUUAGGAAACUUAAUGCAAGAAGGAUGUUUCCAAGGAGCUGAUCUCCUUUGGAAUACUCUGUAAUGAUUGUUGUCAAGUCUUUCUGACUUUGUGCAUAAUCAUUACAAGAGGAUCAAUGCAUAUAAGUUUAGAAUCUAACAGAUUUCAGUAAAUGGCAUGAAUUUGGAAUUCUUGCAUUUGCAGUAAGGAUUUGGGAGUGUGAAAAGAGAAUCAUUGAAGUUAUGUUCAAUUGAUCUAGUU